rnacentral:rRNA from 1 species
GUGUCAGCAGCCGCGGUAAUACGUAGGUGUCAAGCGUUAUCCGGAAUUACUGGGCGUAAAGGGCGCGCAGGCGGCCGGGCAAGUCUCGUGUGAAAGCCUCCGGCUUAACCGGGGGAGGUCGCGAGAUACUGCUUGGCUUGAGACAGUGAGAGGGAGGCGGAAUUCCCGGUGUAGUGGUGGAAUGCGUAGAUAUCGGGAAGAACACCAGUGGCGAAGGCGGCCUCCUGGCACUGUUCUGACGCUGAGGUGCGAAAGCGUGGGGAGCGAACGGGAUUAGAUACCCCGGUAGUCCACGCUGUAAACGAUGUGAACUAGGUGUGGGCAGCAUUGACCCUGUCCGUGCCGCAGCCAACGCGAUAAGUUCACCGCCUGGGGACUACGGCCGCAAGGCUAAAACUUAAAUGAAUUGACGGGG